CAAAAACAUGUNUUUUUGAAAAUAAUAAAAAGUCUAAUCUGCCCACUGAAUUUAUUUAAAGGGCUGCAGUAUACUGACUGUACAAAGGUAGCAUAAUCAAUUAGUCUUUUAAUUGAAGACUUGUAUGAAUGAUUUGAUGAAAUAUGAACUGUCUCUUUUUUAAAAAUAAAAUUUAAUUUUUUAGUUAAAAAGCUAAAAUAAUUAUAAAAGACGAGAAGACCCUAUAGAGUUUUAUAGUUACUUAAUUUAAAAAUUUUAUAUAUAAUUUAAAUUUAAAAUUAAUUAAUUAUUUUAUUGGGGUGAUAGAAAAAUUAAAAAAACUUUUUUUUAAAAAUUUAACAUUAAUUUAUGAAAUUAUGAUCCAUAAUUUAUGAUUAAAAGAAUCAAUUACCUUAGGGAUAACAGCGUAAUUUUUUUUUUUAGUACAAAUAAGAAAAAGAGUUUGCGACCUCGAUGUUGGAUUAAGAUAAAAUUUAAAUGCAAAAGUUUAAAAUUUUUGAUCUGUUCGAUCAUUAAAAUCUUAC
rnacentral:rRNA from 1 species